rnacentral:tRNA from 1 species
GAAGUUGACUCAGUGGUAGAGUACUUGCCUUGCAUGCAUGAGGCCCUGGGUUCAAUCCCUCAGCACAUCG